AGUGAACAGUUAGUUGUUGGAAGGUCAGAGGUCCAGCUAGAUGAGAUGACAGGUACCUGGACUUCAUGUUGUCUACCUGACACUGUGUGAACAGUUAGUUGUUGGAGGGUCAGAGGUCCAGCUAGAUGAGAUGACAGGUACAUGGACUUCAUGUUGUCUACCUGACACUGUGUGAACAGUUAGUUGUUGGAGGGUCAGAGGUCCAGCUAGAUGAGAUGACAGGUACAUGGACUUCAUGCUGUCUACCUGACACUGUGUGUAAUGGGAAAAUUCUGAUGCUACUUGCACUCAUGAAGAAGUAGCCACAUAAUAGGUUUUCUUUGUGUAUGACAUGAUGACAUUGUGGCUUCUAGAUGAACAGAAUCCAGCUGCGUGGCUUUAAAGUGAACAGGAACAGACACCAGCAGGAGCAUCCCUUUGUCACUGUCCUGUACAAAAGGAUAAAGUUUUAGGAUAAAUGGAGUGUGAAGAGUCAAAAACAGAAAACCAUGUAUGGAAAUAGUGCCAUUCUCUGAAGUCUAAGCUGUCACCAGUAGCCCCCACAAACACCUUUCUAUAUGACAUGGUGGCUUCUGGGCAGCAGCUGGUUACAUGGGCAUGGCUUUUAAUAAUAAGGAACAGACAGUUAAAGACCAGCGAGAACAUCCUUAGCCUUCAUCUCAUCCAGAUAUACAACACAUGGGAUGUGGCAAGUUUUAGGACAAGUUGGAUUUACACAGCCAGAGAUGGGAAGGUGAUAAAAUGAACUUUGGCCCACUUCAAGGAGGUCCAUGCCUAGCAUGGCUUGAUUGUCUUCUAAGCAGAGGAGGAAGUUACAUGUGGAGAAUUCUUAAGAUAUUCAAGAGAGGCUACAGCUGGCAGAAGAAAGGGAUUAGAGAUACCAAAUGUUUCGAAUUUCAUCACUGGACUGAUGGACAUUCAGUUUCUGAGAUUUCAGCACCAACCAAAAGUCGCAUUCUCUUUUGCUUUGGCCUCUUUUUUGCAUGCGCACAGAAACUACUGGUAUUGUGUGCACGCACAUUGAACUUACAAUUGCCCUUGCAAGACACAUCACAAGAACAACUAUUUGAGUUGUGGGACUUAGCUUUUCUGUCAUCACACAUAUUUAUAUAUUAUAGAAAUGUCACACACUGAGUGUGUUGUUAGUGUAGUUUAUCUGUUAGAUAUGGAUUGAGAUUAUUAUCUUGUUUUUAUUCACUGAGAUGAACCUUCAGUUGGUGUGUGUGUGAGAGAGAGAGAAAGAGAGAGAGUGGUAAAUUAAGAACUUUCAAAUGGUGAAGGUUUUGAAAGUCAGCUUGGCAUAUAAUUAUAUACACUGCAUGAUGUCAGUCUGUAAACACUGACAAGUUGAGAAGAUUUUGUUGGACAUUUCUUGAAAUAUGCCUGAUUAUAUACCAGGGUGCAUAAACAGUAUCUCUUCAUACUCAGUAAAAAGAAAAAUAUAGUGAAAAUUAUGUAUGAGAUUUGAUUUUUCACUUUGUUCACCUGGAUGAUAUGAGUAGAAUCAUACUGUUCUGUCUUAAAUGUCAUGGAACACAAUACUGCAGUACAUUGACAACAGGCAAUCUAAGGGUGUUUUAAGUGUGUGCCAUCUUGGAUCUGCAGCUAAGUUCUGAAAACCAAGAAAAUGGAACCAAGGUUCUUCUCCAUUAUUCCAUGCACCAUUAUUCAGAC
rnacentral:lncRNA from 1 species